GUGUCAGCAGCCGCGGUAACACGGAGGCCUCAAGCGUUGUUCGGAAUUACUGGGCGUAAAGGGUGCGUAGGCGGCGGGGUAAGUCAGAUGUGAAAGCCCGGGGCUCAACCCCGGAAUUGCAUCCGAUACUGCCUUGCUGGAGGAUUGGAGAGGAGACUGGAAUUCACGGUGUAGCAGUGAAAUGCGUGGAUAUCGUGAGGAAGGCCAAUGGCGAAGGCAGGUCUCUGGACAACUCCUGACGCUGAUGCACGAAGGCCAGGGGAGCAAAAAGGAUUAGAUACCCUUGUAGUCCUGGCAGUAAACGGUGUGCGCUUGGUGUGGGGGGAUUCGACCCCCUCUGCGCCGGAGCUAACGCGUUAAGCGCACCGCCUGGGGAGUACGGCCGCAAGGUUAAA
rnacentral:rRNA from 1 species